UUUCAUUUGUUUCUAUUAACGAUAUUAGAGCGUACAAGAUAUGAUACAUAGUAACAGUAUGAUUAUAUUCCCAAAAGGUUUCCGUUUCCAUGUCAAAUCCUCCAAUCAGAGUAGCCUAUUUAGCAUUAUCGUCUCAAUGUGUUGCUAUUUAUCCAUAUUGACUAUAAAGAUUGUUCAGACGGCGGUUGAGAAACGUUAUUAUGUGUAAGUCAGCGAAACUUCUCAGUGCUGGGGUAUAUAUUGGAAAUAGGCAACUAUUGUAUUUCUACAGCAUACUUUAAUGUCUUUAGUUGUUCAUGGGGUAACCAUUUGCCAUGCAUGCCAAGCCAGCAUACAUCGAACACAUUGGUAUUCGAGGGAGAUGAUGGGCUGCAAGCCUUUCUUUGCGUUAACUGGAGCAUGCAACAUUUUUGAAACUGGGAUACUGGUUGGAACUAACUAAUUCCCAAUUGAGGCUGCAACCAUCCCUUUAAGCGGCUGUCGUGUGUUCAUUUUUAAAAAAAUAAACUUAAACUAUGGCUGUCCAAAUUAGCCUGAAAAAGAAGAGAAUGCUGGGAGGAUUGUCGAAACACCUGCGGCGGUGUAUUACGUCUUCUUGCAAACCUGGCCGUCAAGGUCCGUUCAGUGUGCACCCGCACGUGUCCCAGGCGGUGGCCGAGGGCAGACCGGUGGUGGCUCUGGAGAGUACCAUCAUUACACACGGGAUGCCUUAUCCUCACAAUCUGAGCACAGCUAAGGAGGUGGAGGCCAUAGUGCGGGCCCAGGGGGCCGUCCCUGCUACUGUGGGCGUGCUGAACGGAAAGGUGCAUGUGGGCCUGUCUGAAGAGGAGCUGGGCUUCCUGUCCCAAAGCAAGACUGCCCUCAAGGUGUCCCGCAGAGACUUGCCUUACGUCAUCAGCCAGGGUCUCUCUGGAGGGACGACCGUGUCUGGCACUAUGAUAGCGGCCCACAACGCUGGGAUUCCUGUCUUUGUGACUGGGGGGGUUGGAGGAGUACAUAGAGAUGGAGAAAACACUUUAGAUAUAAGUGCCGAUCUCACAGAACUCGGCCGUACGCCCAUCGCUGUAGUCUCUGCGGGGGUAAAGUCGAUCUUGGACAUCGGGCGCACCUUGGAAUUUUUGGAAACACAGGGAGUAUGUGUAGCCACAUAUGGGCAUUCAAAGAAUUUCCCAGCAUUCUUUUCUCCUCAGAGUGGGUACACAUCUCCAUACCAUGUUUCCAACCCUGAAGAGGCUGCUGAACUGAUAGGGGCCACUCUCGCCCUGGGGCUGGGGAGCGGGCUUCUGCUGGCCGUGCCCAUCCCAGAGGAGCACGCCGCUGCUGGGAAGGAGAUUGAAGACGCCGUCCAGCGAGCUGUUGCAGAGGCCAACUCAAAAGGCAUUACUGGACGGGAAGUGACGCCGUUUAUCUUACAGAGGGUGAAUGAACUGACUCAAGGGAAAUCGCUUCAAGCUAACAUAGCUCUGAUUCAUAAUAAUGCCAAGGUGGGCAGCCAGAUCGCAUGCGCUCUGUCACAAUGCAGUCGGAGGAAAGAUGGCGUCCUGAGCAGGAAGGGCAAGAGGGAGACGAGCCUGGGCACCAAUGCUAUUGUUAUUGGUGGAGUGAAUGUGGACUUCCUUGCAAAAGGAAAAACAAAACAGUUACUGUUUGGUCAGACAAACCCAGGAAGUGUCUGUCAGUCAUUUGGAGGAGUUGGCAGAAAUAUUGCCGACUGUUUGAGUCGACUAGGCCAAGAAGCCCUCUUCAUCUCUGCUGUUGGAGCAGACUCACACGGUGAUGCUGUCCUCAACUACUGCAAGCAUAUGAACACCAGUGGAGUGGCACAAGUGAAGGACCAGAGGACGGCCACCUAUUGUGCGGUCCUCACGGAGAGUGGAGAGCUGAGCCUGGGCCUGGGCGAUAUGGACAUCCAUCAGCACAUCAAAGAGCAGAAUGUGUCCCGUUACGAAGAGCAACUCUCAGCUGCCUCUCUCAUGUGUGUCGAUGGGAACCUUCCUGUGUCCACCAUCAACUACGUUUGUUCCGUGGGCAACAAACAUUCUGUCCCAGUGUGGUUCGAGCCCACAGAUGCUGAUAAGGCCUGUAAGCCCUUCCUGUCUGACAGCUGGAAGGCUCUGACCUACACCUCCCCCAACCUCGCUGAGCUCUGCACCAUGAACCGCACGCUAGGCCUGCCGACUCCUACAGUGCUGCCGGAGUCCUUGGAGGAGUUGCUGAGCUGCGCUGCGUCUCUCUCUCGCCCCCUGCUGGAGCACCUGCAGUGUGUGGUGGUGACGCUGGGCCCAAGGGGAGUGCUGUUGUGUGGGGAGCAUGAAGCAGGCUCCGUCAACCUGCAGCCCAGGAGACACAGAAGGAAGGGACGUAUGUGUGCCCUUCACUACCCUGCUCUGGCCGUCUCCGCAGACGACACUGUGAAUGUGUCUGGAGCCGGUGACAGCCUUGCGGGGGGGAUGAUGGUGGGCAUUCUGCGGGGCUGGGACACUCACGCCUGCGUGCACAUGGGACUCCUGGCGGCACGGCUCUCCCUGGCCUCACCCCACCCCAUCGCCCCCAUGCUGACGCUCGACGUCGUCCACCCACUGAAGGCCCACCCCCAGCCGUGGCCCCAGCCCACCUGCCUGUGGAUGGAGGCGUGAGAGGGACACCGCACCGCUCCACACCGUCCCGUCUCCACCCGAGCAGCCUGACGUUCCCCUCUUUUCAGCAAGACUACAGUUCAUCCUUUGACCAGGUGUUCAACACCAUCCCAUCCCUCUGUGUCCUCCUCUUCGGCCUGAUGUUUGGAGGCAGCCCAGUCUGUCAGCUCUGCUCUGAUUAAACACGACACAAUAGUUUCAUCAGAACUUCACACUCAAAGAACUAAUGACUCUUUUACUCUUUUUUUUUCUCAUGCUAAAAGCUUUGAAACAACCCCAAGUUUCAGUAACACCAGAACAGAUGAAACAAAUGGAAUUGAGCCAUGAGUAAUGCAUUGAGUCAGUCGAGUGAAGUACACACAAAUGUGUGACUUGUCAGUACCAGACAGAUGAAGGGCAGAUUGUUGUUACAGCUCAACUCAUCCCAUAGGCCUCCAUUGCUCAUAUCUAUUGCUGUGCAGCCCUCUCCACUGCCAUAGUUGUCUGGUUUCCCAGAUAUCCAGUACCGGAAGGAAGACAUUUGGCAUUUGUCUGACUGCUCCCAGCUAUCCUGGAAGAGGUCAGUCCAGGGUGCCAAUAAUGUGACAUUACUGUGAAAGAAGAGUCAUCAACAUCGAUGCCCUCUGACAUGUCUUUAUUGUUUGCUUCUGGGUACCAGUUUGCAUUUCUGGUCCUCACACCGUCACAAUCUCUGGGUGUCAACACACCAAAAGAGUCUGGUCCAGUGAGUGACUACAAGUGGUCAUUGUCUGGGCCUAAACAGCCUCCCAUCACUCUGCCUCCUCCACGUCAGUCUGAUGUCCGGAGGCAGUCCACUC